rnacentral:rRNA from 1 species
UGGGGAAUAUUGCACAAUGGGGGAAACCCUGAUGCAGCGACGCCGCGUGAGCGAAGAAGGCUUUCGAGUCGUAAAGCUCUGUCCUAUGAGAAGAUAAUGACGGUAUCAUAGGAGGAAGCCCUGGCUAAAUACGUGCCAGCAGCCGCGGUAAUACGUAUGGGGCGAGCGUUGUCCGGAUUUACUGGGCGUAAAGGGUGCGUAGGUGGUCUUUCAAGUCGGUGGUUAAAGGCUACGGCUCAACCGUAGUUAGCCUCCGAAACUGGAAGACUUGAGUGCAGGAGAGGAAAGUGGAAUUCCCAGUGUAGCGGUGAAAUGCGUAGAUAUUGGGAGGAACACCAGUAGCGAAGGCGGCUUUCUGGACUGCAACUGACACUGAGGCACGAAAGCGUGGGUAGCAAACAGG